rnacentral:rRNA from 1 species
UCCGAAGGGGGCUAGCGUUGUUCGGAAUUACUGGGCGUAAAGCGCGCGCAGGCGGUCUUCCAAGUCAGUGGUGAAAGCCCGGAGCUCAACUCCGGAACUGCCAUUGAAACUGUGAGACUUGAGGAUGAGAGAGGUGAGUGGAAUUCCCAGUGUAGAGGUGAAAUUCGUAGAUAUUGGGAAGAACACCGGUGGCGAAGGCGGCUCACUGGCUCAUAUCUGACACUCAGGCGCGAAAGCGUGGGGAUCAAACAGG